CCCCCCCCCCCCCCUUCCUACUUGACUGCUGGUCUGCUCUACACGGCUGGGAGCAAUCUCCAAUCAACCUGCAACCUGCUCAUCAGCCACACUAUGAAAGCCUGCAGCCUGCACUCAUUCCCUGCCGGAUUGUUGCCGUGAAAGGAGGAAUCCAAGGCCUUCCACACUCCCAAGACCAGCCAGUCCUCUCCACCCUGGAACAACUGUUUCCAACUGCUGCCAUAACCAACCUCCACUCCCAGCUCCCCUUUUCUAAUAAACAAAUGUUACGCUCA